CGCGCAGGUGGUUUCUUAAGUCUGAUGUGAAAGCCCACGGCUCAACCGUGGAGGGUCAUUGGAAACUGGGAGACUUGAGUGCAGAAGGGGAUAGUGGAAUUCCAAGUGUAGCGGUGAAAUGCGUAGAGAUUUGGAGGAACACCAGUGGCGAAGGCGACUGUCUGGUCUGUAACUGACACUGAGGCGCGAAAGCGUGGGAGCAAACA
rnacentral:rRNA from 1 species